UACGUAGGGGGCAAGCGUUGUCCGGAUUUAUUGGGCGUAAAGAGCGUGUAGGCGGCUUUACAGGUCCGUUGUGAAAACUCGAGGCUCAACCUCGAGACGCCGGUGGAAACCGUAAAGCUAGAGUCCGGAAGAGGAGAGUGGAAUUCCUGGUGUAGCGGUGGAAUGCGCAGAUAUCAGGAGGACCACCAGUGGCGAAGGCGGCUCGCUGGGACGGGACCGACGCUAAGGCACGAAAGCGUGGGGAGCAAACAGG
rnacentral:rRNA from 1 species